CAGUAGCCGCGGGAAUACGAGGGGAGCUAGCGUUGUUCGGAAUUACUGGGCGUAAAGCGCGCGUAGGCGGCUUUUUAAGUCAGAGGUGAAAGCCCGGGGCUCAACCCCGGAAUUGCCUUUGAAACUGGAAAGCUAGAAUCUUGGAGAGGUCAGUGGAAUUCCGAGUGUAGAGGUGAAAUUCGUAGAUAUUCGGAAGAACACCAGUGGCGAAGGCGACUGACUGGACAAGUAUUGACGCUGAGGUGCGAAAGCGUGGGGAGCAAACAGGAUUAGAUACCCCAGUAGUCCCUGUCUCUUAUAC
rnacentral:rRNA from 1 species